AUUGAACGCUGGCGGCAUGCUUUACACAUGCAAGUCGAACGGCAGCGCGGGCUUCGGCCUGGCGGCGAGUGGCGAACGGGUGAGUAAUGCAUCGGAACGUGCCCAGUAGUGGGGGAUAGCCCGGCGAAAGCCGGAUUAAUACCGCAUACGACCUGAGGGUGAAAGCGGGGGACCGAAAGGCCUCGCGCUAUUGGAGCGGCCGAUGUCGGAUUAGCUAGUUGGUGGGGUAAAGGCUUACCAAGGCGACGAUCCGUAGCUGGUCUGAGAGGACGACCAGCCACGUGGGGACUGAGGAAGGGCGGAGACUGCUAGGGGAGGCCGCAGUGGGGAAUUGUGGACAAUGGGGGCGAACAUGAUCCAGCCCUGCCGCGUGAGGGAAGAAGGCCUUCGGGUUGUAGACGGCGUUGGUUCGGGAAGAAAUACUCUGGGCUAAUACCCAGGGGGGAUGACGGUACCGGAAGAAUAAGAACCGGCUAGCUACGUG
rnacentral:rRNA from 1 species